CUGGAAGCGUCACCGACCGGCUGCGUCGCCGCAUCUUCGUCGCUCACCACCGUGACGGUGCUCCGAGCAGCG
rnacentral:tRNA from 1 species